rnacentral:lncRNA from 1 species
UAAAGCUUUACGAAAACAUUAUAAAAAACUAGUUCGCAAUGCGAAGUGUAGGGAGCUAUUUCCAAAACCACCAAUGGUGGCGUAUAGUAGACAUCGGAACUUAAAAGAAAUACUGACUAGAUCGGUAGUUAAAGCUUAGUACAAUAUGAAGGAUUGGGUCAGGACCCCUGAUGAAGCACCCACCCUUCAUAUGAGCCACGGA